GACGGAGGGUGCAAGCGUUUGUUCGGAAUUACUGGGCGUAAAGCGUGCGCAGGCGGUCUGUUAAGACCGAUGUGAAAUCCCCGGGCUUAACCUGGGAACUGCAUUGGUGACUGGCAGGCUUUGAGUGUGGCAGAGGGAGGUAGAAUUCCACGUGUAGCAGUGAAAUGCGUAGAGAUGUGGAGGAAUACCGAUGGCGAAGGCAGCCUCCUGGGCCAACACUGACGCUCAUGCACGAAAGCGUGGGGAGCAAACAGG
rnacentral:rRNA from 1 species